UGGGGAGUAUUGGACAAUGGGCGAAAGCCUGAUCCAGCCAUGCCGCAUGAGUGAAGAAGGCCUUCGGGUUGUAAAGCUCUUUUAGUGAGGAAGAUAAUGACGGUACUCACAGUAGAAGUCCUGGCUAACUCCGUGCCAGCAGCCGCGGUAAUACGGAGAGGGCUAGCGUUAUUCGGAAUUAUUGGGCGUAAAGGGCGCGUAGGCUGGUUAGUAAGUUAAAAGUGAAAUCCCGAGGCUUAACCUUGGAACUGCUUUUAAAACUGCUAACCUAGAGAUUGAAAGAGGAUAGAGGAAUUCCUAGUGUAGAGGUGAAAUUCGUAAAUAUUAGGAGGAACACCAGUGGCGAAGGCGUCUAUCUGGUUCAAAUCUGACGCUGAGGCGCGAAGGCGUGGGGAGCAAACA
rnacentral:rRNA from 1 species